GACAGAGGUGCCAAGCGUUAGGCGGAAUCACUGGGCUUAAAGCGUGUGUAGGCGGAUCGUUAAGUACCUUGUGAAAUCCCACGGCUCAACCGUGGAACUGCUGGGUAUACUGGCGGUCUUGAGCCACCUAGGGGCAACUGGAACAAAUGGUGGAGCGGUGAAAUGCGUAGAUAUCAUUUGGAACGCCAAUGGUGAAAACAGGUAGCUGGGGCUGUGCUGACGCUGAGACACGAAAGCCAGGGGAGCAAACGGG
rnacentral:rRNA from 1 species